rnacentral:rRNA from 1 species
UACAGAGGGGGCAAGCGUUGUUCGGAAUUACUGGGCGUAAAGGGCGCGUAGGCGGCCUGUUAAGUCGAACGUGAAAUCCCCGGGCUCAACCCGGGAACUGCGUCCGAUACUGGCAGGCUUGAAUUCGGGAGAGGGAUGCGGAAUUCCAGGUGUAGCGGUGAAAUGCGUAGAUAUCUGGAGGAACACCGGUGGCGAAGGCGGCAUCCUGGACCGAGAUUGACGCUGAUGCGCGAAAGCCAGGGGAGCAACGGG